CCGAACCCACGCACGUUGAAAAGUGCGGGGAUGAGGUGUGGGUAGGGGUGAAAUGCCAAUCGAACCUGGAGAUAGCUGGUUCUCUCCGAAAUAGCUUUAGGGCUAGCCUCAAGGUAAGAGUCUUGGAGGUAGAGCACUGAUUGGACUAGGGGCCCCUACCGGGUUACCGAAUUCAGUCAAACUCCGAAUGCCAAAGACUUAUCCUUGGGAGUCAGACUGCGAGUGAUAAGAUCCGUAGUCGAAAGGGAAACAGCCCAGACCGCCAGCUAAGGUCCCAAAGUAUACGUUAAGUGGAAAAGGAUGUGGAGUUGCACAGACAACUAGGAUGUUGGCUCAGAAGCAGCCACCAUUUAA
rnacentral:rRNA from 12 species